AACGAACGCUGGCGGCAGGCCUAACACAUGCAAGUUGAACGCUGUAGCAAUACAGAGUAGCGCACGGGUGCGUAACGCGUGGGAAUAUGCCCUUCACUGCGGAAUAACGUUUGGAAACGAACGCUAAUACCGCAUAACGACUCCGGUCCAAAGAUUUAUCGGUGAAGGAUUAGCCCGCGUUAGAUUAGCUAGUUGGUGAGGUAACGGCUCACCAAGGCGACGAUCUAUAGCUGGUCUGAGAGGAUGAUCAGCCACACUGGGACUGAGACACGGCCCAGACUCCUACGGGAGGCAGCAGUGAGGAAUAUUGGACAAUGGGGGCAACCCUGAUCCAGCCAUGCCGCGUGAGUGAAGAAGGCC
rnacentral:rRNA from 1 species